rnacentral:misc_RNA from 1 species
UCUGCGUUUAGACAGCCGUAUUCCUAAUGUACAAUUAUUAACAUUUAGUAGUUAGGAAAAAGGGUUGCGCUCGUUGUCCAAAUCCAAUUGACCACUUUACAGCACGAGCUGACGGCAGCCAUGCAACACCUGUAUUCACAAUUAAAAUUAAUUAAAUAUAAUUAAUUCAAUGAAUAUACAAAAGCUGGUAAGAUUUUUUGCGGAGUGUCUAAUUAACAUACAUGCUCCACCGCUCGUAAAUGCUCCCGUCAAUCUUCUUGAGUUUCAACCUUGCGAUUGUAAUCCCCAGGCGGAAUAUUUAACGCGUUAGCUUUGGUAACUGAGUAAAAAACCCAAUUCAUAAUAUUCAUCGUUCGCAGUGUAGACUAC